GGGGGCGACUGGUUUCGACAUGGUAGGCUUGAGAUGAGGAGCAGGUCGUGGUCUCCUCGCCACGUUAAACAGGGGUACCGUCAAGUUAAUUGGCAAAACUUCUUCUAAGUCCGGCUACUACAUGCCGGCCGCCAUGGCUGCCUAACAGCAGUUAUCGCGAUCGCCGACCUUGGGGUUUCCCCGACCCUUGGAAGGCGUCAUUUCAGGGGAAUGCGCCUUGGCACGUAGUCGGUAUGGCCAGGGCAAAGACUGAACCGGCUAGCGGCGCGAACGUCGGUCUGCGAACCGAGGCGCCGCGAACCCUGAUCGCAGACUAAGCCUGUAGAGCCUCGUGGAUUGUCUAGUAUGGACCGGAGUUCGAUCCUCCGCGCCUCCACCA
rnacentral:tmRNA from 1 species